AUUGAACGCUGGCGGCAUGCCUUACACAUGCAAGUCGAACGGUAACAGGCCGCAAGGUGCUGACGAGUGGCGAACGGGUGAGUAACACAUCGGAACGUGCCUGAUAGUGGGGGAUAACUACUCGAAAGAGUAGCUAAUACCGCAUAAGAUCUCAGGAUGAAAGCAGGGGACCGCAAGGCCUUGCGCUAACAGAGCGGCCGAUGGCAGAUUAGGUAGUUGGUGGGAUAAAAGCUUACCAAGCCGACGAUCUGUAGCUGGUCUGAGAGGACGACCAGCCACACUGGGACUGAGACACGGCCCAGACUCCUACGGGAGGCAGCAGUGGGGAAUUUUGGACAAUGGGCGCAAGCCUGACCCAGCAAUGCCGCGUGCAGGA
rnacentral:rRNA from 1 species